GGAGAUGGCCUUAGUUGUGCCGCGACGGCCAUGACCCAGACCAGAGCGACACGGUUUGCGCUACUAGCGCGGACAGUGUUGUAGCCGGAGACGGGGAAACCCUAGCUAGCCCUCCGGGUAGGAUAUAAGAUAGGCUUGAGGGAAUCCAACAGACCCGGCGGCAAGAAUAGAACUAGGAGAUCUGCUAAAUCGACAAUAGAUGGCGGCGGCUCUUCGAUUUGCUGCGAGAAAGAUCUGCGGUCGCGCCCUUCAGCGACCACUGCAGCCGUAUCUUACGGCGGCCGCCGAAGCUGCCAUCAAAGAGGACAAGCGGCAGCUGUUGCGCCAUGGCGCGGCCUAUCUUCGCAGGUUCUCCAGCGAAUCGCAAAAUCUUUUCAAGAACAAGCUUGGAGCCAUGUCCGGGGCAAAUCCUGCGGCGGCUUCUCCACUACAAUAAUGCACAAGCCACAUCUCCUCCACCAAUAUGGUCGCCUAGGAACAAAAUGUUCUUACCCCUUGCUGCUGUGUACGUAACGGCCUUAUGUGCAGGAAUCUCUGGAAUACUUUACUAUUGUACCCAUGAAGAGCGGGGCCCCUUUUUCGAAACCCCGAAGAAGCGGAGUGAUUAACGUUCAGAUUUGUCCUAUGCUUCGGAGAAAGCAGAAUAAUUGGGUAUAUGAUUUAGUAGUAGUUAGCUUCAUCGCCUGUUUUUUACUCUGACUGUGUUGAACAAUGGUUACGAUGAUUUAGUAGUACUUGAGCUUCUUCUGUC